CUUUCCUACGGGGCGCAGCAGUGGGGAAUAUUGCACAAUGGGGGAAACCCUGAUGCAGCGACGCCGCGUGAGUGAAGAAGCGUUUCGGCGCGUAAAGCUCUGUCAGCGGGGAAGAAACACGGUUCGCGAGAGCCGCGGACGGUACCCGACCAAGAAGCCCCGGCUAACUACGUGCCAGCAGCCGCGGUAAUACGGAGGGUGCGAGCGUUAAUCGGAAUUACUGGGCGUAAAGCGCUCGUAGGCGGCAUGUCAAGUCAAGGGUGAAAUCCCCGCGCUCAAC
rnacentral:rRNA from 1 species